AGUGUUGGGAAGGUUACUUUGGAAAUGUAAUAGGUUACAGAUUACAAGUUACCCUGUUUAAAAUGUAAUAGCAGUGUAACUUUUUUAAUUACUUUAAAAAAGUAAUGUAACUAAUUACUUUUGAGUACUUUUUGAUUACUUUUAUAAAUUUCUAAUGAAUGUUUAUUUGCAACUGUUAAUCAUCUUCAACCAUUUACACCAUGCAGGUUUAACCUUAAAGUAGUGCUCAACACUGUCAGACUUUCACCAUCCUUCAUCACUUGAAUUAAGAUGAUCCCAUUUGAACACAUCCACCACACAAUCAGACUUUAGUACUGCCUUUUACUUUAAUGAGAUUGAUCUGAAGUUCGAUGCAGAUUUAAAAUCAAAAGAAAUAGUUUAUAGAUACUGUUUUUGAAACCAAAUCUUUGCAUAACUACACUGUAAAAACUAAAGGUGCCUCAGGUAUCCUUUUGAGUACUCCAGGAACCUUAAAAUGUAUUUUAAGUGCCUCAAAGCUCUUUUUCUCAUAAUAGGGUUCCUGGAAGAACCAUUAUAGUCUUUGCAGUUCGUGCAGGAACUCAUGGGAUCCUUGAAGCACUUUGUUCCCAGUUCUGAGGUUCUGGAGUCACCCUUUCAUUACACUGAGACCUCAAAGUGCUCUGGAGGUUCCUGGAGGAACUCACAUUUAAAAAAAGGGUUACUGCAAGCUCUGUUAACAUUAAAGUGGUUCCUGGAAGAUCUCACUUGUAAAAGCCAGCAUCUGGAAGAACCCAGAGAAGUGACAAAAAUUAAAUGUGACUUAUUAUUAUUAUUAUUUACUUUUUAGGAAUGUGAUGGAACAAUUAGUUUUGUGGCACUUGCAUGUGAAAAAAAAACCUAAAUGGUUGAACAAAUCUUCACAUUUGAUCUGUCAAAACAUAAAUAAAUUAAAUAACAAAAGCAAAAGGACAUACAAAAUCUUCUAAACAGACAGAAUAUCCAACUAAAAUGUUACAAUUAUUUCUGAAAACACUUCUCAGCAAUAGGGAAUAUAUACAAGCAAACAGGCAUCCAGUGGCUACAGCAUGUUUGUUAUUAUUAUUUAUUAAUUUCCUCCAGACUUAAACUUAAAUACUGCAAUAACUAAAAAUAGUUUUAUUGAAAUAGGCUAAAUGUUAAAUCAUUUGAAGGAGGAUAGUUUACUUUGAAACUUUAAAGCAAACAUUAAAAAUAUUAUUCAACUUAAUAUGACUAAACGCAUUAAUUUAAUAAAAAAAAACUAUAAUUAUAACAAUCGGUACAAUAGUAAUAUUUAGAUUAUUUUUUUCCCCUAAUGAAAUAAGUUAAAAUUAAUCAGAAAUAACUGUUCAGCUUUUGUCAAGAAGAAGAAAAUUCAUGAGGCUUGGCGUCCUCGCGCUCCUGCUGUUUGCGCGCAUGCGCGUGGAAGAGCGAUUUCAAAUACAAGGAAGUAACGGCUCCUUUCCUCAAAGAAAGAAACACCCGCUGCGCAAGGUGAGUAAAGGCUCCGAUAUAAAUACACAGAUUUAUUAUUUGUAUACUGAUUCAUACAAUGUUUUGUUUUAACCAUUAAUUUAAUAGCUGCGAUGCUUACGAGUCUAAUGCACUUUGUGGGACGAAAUGGAGACUACAAACACAAGAAAAUCCAGUAUGACUUCUCUUAAAGUCUCAAAGGAUUCACAGAACAGCACUAUCAGUUAAUAAAGAAAUGUGUCUCUGUAGUGGACACCUGUGAGGCAGAGGACAGACAGCUGCUGAAGUCUGAUGCUGGCUGACAAUAAACAGACCUCUCUGGACGUACCCCAUCUUUUGUAGAGUAAUUCUAACAUUGCCCUUCCUGUAAAAUGAUGAUCCUGCUGUCCUGGAUGUAUAUGAUGAGCCUACACAUAAUCUCAGAACAGCUGUGGUAAUAGCAGGAGACCCAUUUGGUGAGAGCAGCACUGCAGUCUUUCCUGAUGGAGGAGACCAUGGACCAUUUCCAUAAGACUGAUGAUGUGUUUCAGCGGCCAUCAGCAUCGUAAAUCCUCACCAUUUUUUAAUAUUUUGAUUUUUUAAAAAUUAUGUGCAUUAAUAACGCUAUACUUUGUAUUAUAUCACAUUUGUAUCAAAUUACUAAAAAAAAAAUAGCUAAUGCAAGGGUGUUUCAAAUCCAGAGUCUUUUGGAGGAAUGCUAAAUUUGACAUUGUUUUAUCUUCUGACUGCUGUUAUCAGUCUCUGUCAGAUUUUUUCCUUUGAUUGAAAGUUGUGAAAAUGCUAUCUUUAGAGUUUUUGUUUUGUUAUUUGAGUAAAUGAGAAUGCAAAAAUAUUUGUGAUACUCUCCCAUUCACUGCUCUCGAAGUUAACCCAACUAUAACAACUUCCGCUGCUGAGAAACUGGUUUAUUAAGCUAUCUUGAGGCUUAUCAAUUUCUUAAAAUGUCCUGUGAUAAUUCUUCCAAUCAGUUUCCAUAAUUUAGAACAGGAAAGAAAAUGUUACUAUUAGUUGCAUUGUGUCUAAAAUUGAAUUGAAUUUAUUAAUUUAAAUUGUAUCAUUGUUGCAGGUACAUUAAAUGUUUUUUAAAGUUCUAAGAUAAUUGAGUCACAUUUAUUUGUUUAUAAUUUUACCAAGGUGUAAAUGUUUUUUUUUGUUGUUUUAUAUUUGUUUAUAGCAAUAUUAACACUGAUGUGUCCAUGAAUGGGAUUGUGAUGUGCAGUAUUGACUAUUUAAGGUGAUUAUGGAUAUUGUUGCUUAUCAAUAAACUAUGUUUUAUAUG